rnacentral:rRNA from 1 species
UAUGGCCAUAUUACAUUGAAACACCAGUUUUCAUAUGAUCACCAAAGUUAAGCAACAUUGAAACUGGUCAGUACCUAGAUGGGUGACCACUUGGGAAUUCCAUGU